AACAUACUGCCGAUGCUAUGAUCAUGUGCUUUGACGAGACGAAAGACAAGCUCGCAAAAACCACUACUUGCACUACUUAAUGGAGAAGCCGGGGAUACGGGUGAUGAGUCGUGCCUCCCACAGUGUUGGUAGGACUUCCGUUGUCAUAUGCUUGCUGUCACUGAAUUCACUAGAAAUUUGGAGGGCUUUGGUCAUGCUACGAUUUUUGUGAAGGCUUUUGAGGUUACAGACAAGGGAGAGAAGACUGGUAUCACAAAUGGCCCACGGAUGAUAACUUGUAUGGAGAGGAUGGUUACAAGUCUUCUGCACGUCUUGGUGAUUAUCUGAGAAAGAUCGGUGGUUUGUGUCCCAUUUCAGCUAUUUAAAGAGAAGAAGAAAGACAAGACCAAAAAAUUGUGCACAGGUUGAAAACUAUGUUGGAAGAAAAGAGUAAAAGAACUGAAGAAAUUCAAAAUCAGGUACCAGUUAUCUGCAUAUAUAAUGGUCGGCAUCUUAAUUCUAAUUUUACCUUGAGUGAAUAUGAAAAGGAUGCAAGAGAAGGCUAAUGAGCAGCUUACAUCAUUGUGUGUGUUUGGAUAAGCAAUCUUCGAAGUGAUGUUUUUUGGAUUACUUUUACAUCAAGUUUUACCUAAAUUAGUAAACAUAUAUGCCAGAAACAAAAAGAAAUAAAAGCUUCACAGCCAAAUCAUCGAGCUUUGGGAAAACUUGAUGAGACGCAGCAGCAGCAGCGUCUGGAGAUACAGAUGAACCAAAUGAAGGAGGAGCGCUGUCGGUGAUGAAACACAUGACUGGUGAAGCUAAUGAAGCAAAAAUGCAGUCGAUUCAAGAAGUUCUGAAGAAAACAGAAGAGGAAGCAGAAGACUUGGAAGGGGUUCUUAAUUAACAAUUGAUAAUCAAAGAAUGGUGGAGCAAGCUAGUAAUUAAAGAGCUGAUAAGAAAGUAAGCGUUGUCAAAUUGUUCCUAUUUUGUUUACCUUGAGCAACCACUUAUCUUAGCUGAGUAAAGUUGGACGAACCUGAACCUGAACCUGAUGUUACUUGAUUUGAUUGUAAUAGUAUAAACAUGUGUUUGACGAUUCAAUUCUUUUUGUUCAAAUAUGUAACAGAAUAAAUGUACAACAGAUUAUGUGACCUUUUAUUC